ACAUCAGGGCAUGCUUAGUACGGCGAGUGAAGCGGCAAAAGCUCAAAUUUGAAAUCUGGCACCUUCGGUGUCCGAGUUGUAAUUUGAAGAAGGUAACUUUGGAGUUGGCUCUUGUCUAUGUUCCUUGGAACAGGACGUCACAGAGGGUGAGAAUCCCGUGCGAUGAGAUGCCCAAUUCUAUGUAAAGUGCUUUCGAAGAGUCGAGUUGUUUGGGAAUGCAGCUCUAAGUGGGUGGUAAAUUCCAUCUAAAGCUAAAUAUUGGCGAGAGACCGAUAGCGAACAAGUACAGUGAUGGAAAGAUGAAAAGAACUUUGAAAAGAGAGUGAAAAAGUACGUGAAAUUGUUGAAAGGGAAGGGCUUGAGAUCAGACUUGGUAUUUUGCGAUCCUUUCCUUCUUGGUUGGGUUCCUCGCAGCUUACUGGGCCAGCAUCGGUUUGGAUGGUAGGAUAAUGACUAAGGAAUGUGGCUCUACUUCGGUGGAGUGUUAUAGCCUUGGUUGAUACUGCCUGUCUAGACCGAGGACUGCGUCUUUUGACUAGGAUGUUGGCAUAAUGAUCUUAAGCCACCCGUCUGAAAAAAGGGAAAAAAAAAACCAAUAAAAAUUAAAAAAAAAAAUAA
rnacentral:rRNA from 1 species